rnacentral:lncRNA from 1 species
UAGCAUGUUUCCAUCAAUGUCUGUCACAGCAGCAGUGAUGUGUUCCUGCAGUUCUUGCAUCAUUGUUGGAAUUGACCGAUUUCAUGGGAAAUGCCCACUGCCAUGACGUCGAAAUAUGGCGUCUGUACGAUGGAAAACAAAUCACAUGUAGUUGCGUGCUUGAGUGUUCUAUAAUAAUGUCUCUUCAAAAUCUAAAUAAAUUUACAAUCAAAAUAGGCUUUGAUUAUUUUAAAUGCCAUUCAAAUAACACAAGAAGAUCAAAAGAACAUGGUUUCUCCUAUUUUUGUGCAAGUUAUAAAAAUAAAUUUGAAUUGAAA